rnacentral:rRNA from 1 species
UACGGAGGGGGCUAGCGUUGUUCGGAAUUACUGGGCGUAAAGCGCGCGUAGGCGGACUGUUAAGUCGGGGGUGAAAUCCCGGGGCUCAACCCCGGAACUGCCUUCGAUACUGGCGGUCUAGAGGGCUGGAGAGGUGAGUGGAAUUCCGAGUGUAGAGGUGAAAUUCGUAGUUAUUCGGAGGAACACCAGUGGCGAAGGAGGCUCACUGGCCAGAUUAUGACGGUGAGGUGCGAAAGCGUGGGGAGCAAACAGG